GUGGGGAAUCUUAGACAAUGGGCGCAAGCCUGAUCUAGCCAUGCCGCGUGGACGAUGAAGGCCUUAGGGUUGUAAAGUCCUUUCGCUGGGGAAGAUAAUGACGGUACCCAGUAAAGAAGCCCCGGCUAACUCCGUGCCAGCAGCCGCGGUAAUACGGAGGGGGCUAGCGUUGUUCGGAAUUACUGGGCGUAAAGCGCGCGUAGGCGGAUCGGAAAGUUGGGGGUGAAAUCCCGGGGCUCAACCUCGGAACUGCCUUCAAAACUCCCGGUCUUGAGUUCGAGAGAGGUGAGUGGAAUUCCGAGUGUAGAGGUGAAAUUCGUAGAUAUUCGGAGGAACACCAGUGGCGAAGGCGGCUCACUGGCUCGAUACUGACGCUGAGGUGCGAAAGCGUGGGGAGCAAACAGGAUUAGAAACCCGAGUAGUCC
rnacentral:rRNA from 1 species